UUGCAGUUCAAACAAUUUGGGGACGAGACCACGACCUAGGUCUCACGAUUCCGACUGGAGCAGUCGUAUGGACAUCCAAUUAAUAGAAAUUACAUGAUGGUGGUGGUCGAUCGAAUACUCACAGUAUCAUCAAGUGAUGGCCGUUCGGGGUUCCAUAGCAAUGACAACAAGCGGAGAUAGCGGCGGAGGGUGGCUAAGGCUCAUCGGCAACGGUGGCGGUCGGAGGUUGUCUCUGCGACAGCAGCAGACGGGGAGGGUCGGACGUGUCGGGAAGAUCGUGUUCUAAGCGGGUUUUGUACCGGGAAACUUGGAGUCGACCUGAGGUUGAUGGAGAAGCAAGGAAAAGGCGACUGGAAGCUGUUUGAGAGUCGAAUAAAUGAAAGCAGGAAGGAAAAAUGGUGGUGGUCGCUGCUUCUUCUUCUCCAGUGAACUGUGCCAACAGGGGCCUGUUUAUGAUCGUGGGUUGCAUCAACUGGCCAUGGCGGUGGUUUGGCGGUGAUUGGAUCAGUCUGCCAUCAAAAAUAGAAGGAAGAGGGGAGGUUGCGAGAAUGAGAGAGGGGAAACAGUUGGAUCGAAUGGGAUAGGUGAAGCGGCAACAUCAAUGGUCUUCAGGGGUGUUUGGCUGGUUAACAACUCGACGGGAAGGAGAGAUGGAGGGAAUAGCCGACCUUCGGUUCCUCUCUUCCACUGAUCAUAACAGGGAAGGAAGACAGAUUACAAUAAUCUCGGGGUGUUUGUUUGCUAUGGUUUGCUUUUGUUUGGAUAGAUAUCGAUGGGGUGUUUGGUUGGUUCAUUUGAUAGGAAGUGAAGGAGAAGAAGAACAGCAACAAAACCUUAAGGUGUUUUGGGUGUUACUGUGAAACCCGUGGGAAGGAAGAAAGAUAGAAGAGGGUUGUGGCCCUCUUGGGAUGCGUGUGCAAAAUUGAAGGACAACAGAUGAAACAGAUCCUUGGCGUAUGAUUUUGUAUAAGUUGAAGCUUAGAAGAAAUUUGUACGAUAGUUGAGUAAGUGUGCAAAAUUGUUGACUAGUGUGAUAGUUGAGUAAGUGUGCAGGUUUAUCUUUAUUUGACUGUAAAUUUAAGAGUAGAAUAUAAGUUUUAUUUUAAUAUUUUAUAUAAUGAAUUGUUUCAUUAUGGAAUGUAACAUGUGUGUAUUUGUUU